rnacentral:lncRNA from 1 species
AUGGCAUUUGUUGCUCCUCCUUUUUUGCUUUGUGUGCAACUUUGCUUACUGCAUUUUUACCUUGGCUUUACGUUUGGCUCCUCCGCAAAGCUGAGCGUGUGUAAGAGAGAGAAUAGCCUGCUGUGGAAGGAUGCACUGCUGCAGAGACAGGCAUUUGUUUUUUGCUGCAAGAUAUCCUUUAUAAAUUCAGACAGACGGCAAAUAUUUAACGAGGAGCCAGAAAAUCAGGAAAGCCAUUCACAAAGCUGUAAGAGGAGCCGUAAAUUCGAUUGAACUGCAAAGAUAAUAACUAGGAAAGUGCAUGUUUGCUUCAGUCUCCGUAUUUGCCGAAUGCUUCUAUCUGCGCAUCGGAGCAACUGGCCUUCCCUCCUAGCCCGUCGUAUAUCUGCUGCGGCACCGGGUCAGCGGCUUGCUGAGGAAGUCGCAGCCCUUUCUCGGGGUGAAAUCAGUUCUGCGUCUUCAAAGGACACACGUCUUUCAGAGAUGGCUGAGGAUGGAAGAAGCUGUCUAGAUCGAACGCCUGGGGCUAGGUCCUGAGGCACCCGGAGCCGGCAGAGCCAAGGUGAUCUCUGCGAACGGACGCCAGCAGGGCACGGACGGCUCCGCUUCGUAGAUCGGGCAGCUGAACCCAUCCGGAAGAACCUGCCAAAGACAUCAGGAGGGAGCCGUGUCCUAAGCAACGUCCCUUUUCGCUCCCAGCCAGGAGAACGUCUGCUGGGACAGAUGUCCCCCGCGUCCUCUUGAUGCUCACCACGCUUUGAAGACGUAGAAACGCCUGCCGUGAGCGAUCGCCCUCUUACCGCCUCGGGGGGGGGACGCAUCCCAGAAACGCGCAGGUGUCGGGAGCUGACGUGCUGCCUGCCGAGCUGACGUACGGCUGUCCCGCCAGCGCUCGUGUUUUGGGACAGGAAUCCAAGCAAAAAAACGCGCUUAAGGCACGGCGAUGUACUGCCGCAAUCAGGUGCAUCUGCGGUGCGGCCGCAGAGAUCCACGCUGACCUCCUCUUUACCCACGGGUCGCCGUUCCCCACGUAGAAAUCCCUUUUUCCGUUGGAGAGUGCAAGAUAAACGGAUGUAUCGUGUCCUUUUGCAUCUUCAGAGGAGACCAGCCUGUCGGGCUAGUUCUCAAAACUGCAGCUUAGCAAGUGAAAAUCCAAUAUUAAACUGUUCAUGACAUCAGAAUUGUUGACAUCCUCUCAAGCUUACUCAUUUUCUCUCUCUCUUUUUUUUUUUUUUUUCCUUCCUUAAAGGCCACGCUUUAUCCAAUGUUGGGUCACCCAUGGCAGCCAAUCUUAACGCCAAAUAAAUGGAAAAACAGAGAAUAACA